rnacentral:lncRNA from 1 species
CUUGGCACAGUCAUGCUGGAUUUAAAGGUUUCCUGGGUGGAGAGAGUGAAGUAAGCUGUGAGUCUCUGACUUCAGCCUUUCUUCUGAGCCAGAUUCAGCCACAGAUCCCUCAGCAGCCACAUGCAGGUAUUGCUGGGAAACUGAACCUCUGGAUCCAGCUGUGUGGAGAAGCAUCAGGCUGUGAGUGCUCUGCCCCAAAUCAGUCCAUGGGGCUUUACCACCCCCACAUUUUGUGAAGCUGGGCCCUGUCCCCAGCACUCAGACACAUGGCACACAUCAGGCACUGCCAGCAGGACUGACUGGGUUUUGCCUUCUCUCCUGAGGCACCGCCGAGACCACAGAAUAAGGCUGGAGAGAAGCACCCUGGGUGAUGCCAAUUUCCCUGCUCGGUUUCCCAGCCAGGAACACCAGGAGGAUGUCCAGAGGAAGCUGCUGACACCUCUUCCCACCCCAGCUCCCUCACUGGGGCCAGUGGCAAUGCAGGCUGGUACUGCCCUGGCUCUGAACAGGCUGUUUCUCCCCCACACUUCUAUUAUACAAACUCAUGUAAGUUCAAUGGGUAAAACCUGAUGUUCAACUUUUGCACAAAGUCAGCAGAAUGAAAGAAAAAGAUGGAGAA